AGAAACUAAAUAGGAUUCCCCCAGUAAUGGCGAAUGAACAGGGAAGAGCUCAGCAUGGAAAUCGGGGCCUCCCGGCCUUGAAUUGUAGUCUUGAGAUGUACUGCCAACGGAGGCGCAGAUGUAAGCCUCUUGGAAAAGAGCAUCAACGAGGGUGAGAGUCCCGUUUGUCAUCUGCAGUCCCCCGUGCACGGUGUACAUUCUAAGAGUCACGUUCCUCGGGAUUGGAGCGCAAAGUGGGUGGUAAAUUUCAUCUAAAGCUAAAUAUUGGUUCGAGACCGAUAGCAAACAAGUACCAUGAGGGAAAGGUGAAAAGGACUUUGAAAAGAGAGUUAAAAGUGCCUGAAAUUGCUGAAAGGGAAGCGAAUGGAACCAGUGUUCUUGAUGAGAUUGUCGCGUACUCUGGUGAUUGCUGGGUGCUCCACCGCAAGGGGGGCAUUUGGUUUUGAGCUAGAUGUGCGUGGUGUUUCUUGUCUUGUGUGUCACCGUCGGUGCACGAGCGAGUAAACCUCCAGGGAGAUGGUAACUCGUCUGCGGAUGUGUGAAUGUCUCUGGUAGUACUCAUUUGUGUAUCGAUCCCUGCGUGUCUGGUUGCAGUGUUUGAGUCGUCUGGAAGCUUCUGAAAGGCUUGCCCUCGAUGAACUUUCUGGGCUCCUUGAGCAUCUCCCUGACACAAAGACGAUGACUAAAUGGUUCUAUUCGACCCGUCUUGA
rnacentral:rRNA from 1 species